AUACGUUAGUAAAGACAGAUAUAUACGUGGCGUGACAAUUUAUAGGUUUAUUUGAUACCUGAUAUAAGAUUAUAUCAUGAUUAACACAGUUGCAUCAUUAAAAUCAAUACCAUAGCAAAUGUCGUCACCUACAUCAGCGAGCUGUCACAGAUUGUUAAAUUUUUAAUCAUGCAAUUCAUAUGUCACACAGUAUCCCACGUGAGCAAUGAGCGUAGCAUAAUGAAAUAUUCACAGUGGUACUAAAUUAUCUGUUCACUAAAUUUCAUUACCAUUUUAAUUAGAUAAUAAUUUUAAUGUGUUUUGAUUGAUUAUUCACAAGUGUUAAAUAGCGGUACGUGAGGCCCCCUCUGAACACACAUAUAUGGGCCGCCCAUGGCGACCACUAACAAGGGAAACGUCGAGAGCGUGCUGGAAAUGCCAAUGGUUGAUAAAAAGAAGCAUUCCACUAUUUGAAAUAGUGUUUUUUAACAACAUACUAGAAAAGUGGUUACAAAAGCAUGCUCAUUAUAAAUUUAAAGAACCGUAGACACCACUUUUGGGUAGGAAAAUACAACCGGCAACACCGCACAGGAAAUCGUUCGAUUUUUGCUUUUGAAACAGAAUAUCAAAUAUAUGUACAUUUAUUCGUUCUCUGACAAUUUUGUCACUCAUUUGACAUUUGUGGGCCACUACAAAGCAACAAAGUAGGCUAAAAGAUGGACGACAGAUAGGGUGGGGAAACAGGUAAAUUAAAUUUUGGUAACUCUUGUGUCGGUGCGAUGGUACCUCCGACCUACUUUCGAAUAGAAAUGGAUAGAGCCUGAAACACAUUCGCGUUAGAGGAAGUAGGUCACUUGUAACCCGCCAAAGACCGAAAAUAAUACUUUUUAAAAUGAAAAUGUAUUAAGAUCUUUAAUUAUUGUAAAUAAAUAAAGACUACAAUUUUGUUCAAAACUU